rnacentral:rRNA from 1 species
UAGGUUAGAAGUGGCAGUGCGGUGACGCAUGAAGCGGACUAAUACUAAUCGGUCGAGGACUUAACCAAG